rnacentral:lncRNA from 1 species
UGUUGCAGACAGUAAGAGAAGAGAAGAAAAUAAGCAGUAAUAAAGCAAGAAAGCUGGCAAAAUUUUCGCGUCUUACAAAAAAAGUAACCACGAAAACUAGUCAAUCACUGUGAUCUAGAUAACACAAGGAAUGCUGAGACAGAAGUUACGAGGGACAGAAUAUGAGAUGAGAUGAGAUGGCGGUACUAUUAAUUAAUGCCACAAAUUCCAAGACACAUAAAAAAACCAACACAAGAACUAGGCAUGAUCAAAGGUGACAAAACCAGCAUUCAAGUAAAAACUUGUGUAUUAUAUUUGUGACUUGCAUUCACGAAUGUAUAUGGUGAAUGAUGUUUUCGGGCAGUGGUACCUACAAUACUGCAUCAAUAAAUAAGACCUUUGUCAAUCACUCACAUUUGUAGAGCCCAAAUAAUAAAGAUUGCUGUUAAUAGAAACUGCACACAAUGCAUUUUGCUGUGGUGUUAGUCCAUGUUAGCGCAUCUGUUUUAGACUAUGCAUCAGCCAUGCCACUAUCGUGAGCAAGGUGUACACCAGGUAAUAGUAUAUGAUCUAACCACUGGCUGCAAAGAGUUUUUCAGCCAAGAUUAGAGCAAGGUGAGCGUGCAAACAAUGAGUGUGCCAACACUGAGCAAUGCAGCAUUAGGAAAACUGAGAAACUGGGGUUGUCAUUUUAUGUGUAAUCAGCCUAACACUGUCAUAUGAACCACCGAUUCUUCACUGCAGUACAAUAAUGAACAUGAAAAAUCAGUAAUAUCCGCAUGAGAUAUGAACAAAUGAAACGAGACUGAUUGGAAACUUGACCGCUCUUAGUGCAGCAGCUUCAGACAUGACCCACAGUGUAAUGAUAUUUAUAGACUUUUUGAUCGUUAAGCAGCAAAUGUGCAAAGUUGUCAAAAUGUUUUCAUAUAUACGCAUUAUGGCAGUACAGUCGACUUCCAUUAAUUUGACCCUGACAAGACUAACAAAAUUGAUCGAAUUAUCCGGCGGGUAAAAUGAAACAAA